GAUGAACGCUGGCGGCGUGCCUAAUACAUGCAAGUCGAGCGAACAGAUGAGGAGCUUGCUCCUCUGACGUUAGCGGCGGACGGGUGUGUAACACGUGGAUAACCUACCUAUAAGACUGGGAUAACUUCGGGAAACCGGAGCUAAUACCGGAUAAUAUAUUGAACCGCAUGGUUCAAUAGUGAAAGACGGUUUUGCUGUCACUUAUAGAUGGAUCCGCGCCGCAUUAGCUAGUUGGUAAGGUAACGGCUUACCAAGGCAACGAUGCGUAGCCGACCUGAGAGGGUGAUCGGCCACACUGGAACUGGGACACGGUCCAUACUCCUGCGGGAGGCAGCAGUAGGGAAUCUUCCGCAAUGGGCGAAAGCAUGACGGAGCAACGCCGCGUGAGUGAUGAAGGUCUUCGGAUCGUAAAACUCUGUUAUUAGGGAAGAACAAAUGUGUAAGUAACUAUGCACGUCUUGACGGUACCUAAUCAGAAAGCCACGGCUAACUACGUG
rnacentral:rRNA from 1 species